UGGUGGUGAUGAUGGUGAUGAUGGUGAUGGUGAUGAUGAUGAUGAUGAAAGUCAUCAUUGUCUUCAUCAUCAUCACCACCACCACCAUCAUCAUCAUCAUCU
rnacentral:pre_miRNA from 1 species